UACGGGGGGUGCAAGCGUUAUUCGGAAUCAUUGGGCGUAAAGGGCGCGUAGGCAGUCUUUUAAGUCAGAUGUGAAAGCCCUCGGCUUAACUGAGGAAGUGCAUUUGAUACUAAGAGACUUGAGUAUGGGAGAGGGAAGCGGAAUUCCUGGUGUAGCGGUGAAAUGCGUAGAUAUCAGGAGGAACACCGGUGGCGAAGGCGGCUUCCUGGACCAAUACUGACGCUGAGGCGCGAAGGCGUGGGUAGCAAACAGG
rnacentral:rRNA from 1 species